rnacentral:rRNA from 1 species
CGAGCGGUAGAGAGAAGCUUGCUUCUCUUGAGAGCGGCGGACGGGUGAGUAAUGCCUAGGAAUCUGCCUGGUAGUGGGGGAUAACGUUCGGAAACGGACGCUAAUACCGCAUACGUCCUACGGGAGAAAGCAGGGGACCUUCGGGCCUUGCGCUAUCAGAUGAGCCUAGGUCGGAUUAGCUAGUUGGUGGGGUAAUGGCUCACCAAGGCGACGAUCCGUAACUGGUCUGAGAGGAUGAUCAGUCACACUGGAACUGAGACACGGUCCAGACUCCUACGGGAGGCAGCAGUGGGGAAUAUUGGACAAUGGGCGAAAGCCUGAUCCAGCCAUGCCGCGUGUGUGAAGAAGGUCUUCGGAUUGUAAAGCACUUUAAGUUGGGAGGAAGGGCAGUUACCUAAUACGUGAUUGUUUUGACGUUACCGACAGAAUAAGCACCGGCUAACUCUGUGCCAGCAGCCGCGGUAAUACAGAGGGUGCAAGCGUUAAUCGGAAUUACUGGGCGUAAAG